UACGUAGGGGGCAAGCGUUAUCCGGAAUUACUGGGUGUAAAGGGAGCGCAGACGGCAGUGCAAGUCUGGAGUGAAAGCCCGGGGCCCAACCCCGGAACUGCUCUGGAAACUGUGCGGCUAGAGUACUGGAGGGGCAGGCGGAAUUCCUAGUGUAGCGGUGAAAUGCGUAGAUAUUAGGAGGAACACCAGUGGCGAAGGCGGCCUGCUGGACAGUAACUGACGUUGAGGCUCGAAAGCGUGGGGAGCAAACAGG
rnacentral:rRNA from 1 species